rnacentral:tRNA from 1 species
UCGGCCAACUUUAUUAACUGUAACUAAAACAAAGGAAAUAUAUGUUUAAUACUAAAAAUAUGAAAGAACUGACUU